CGAGCCGGGCCCGUUGCGUCACCUUCACCGGGAGCCGCGGCCGCCGUGCCAGGACAUUCCUCGGCUCGUCAACUCUCCGCGUUCCCUGGACGAGCUGACCUGAUGAAGAACAGGCGGAAGGAGGCAGCAGGGAGCGGCAGCAGCGUAAGCCCAGCAGGGAUGCUCGAGGAGCAGCAGCCGCAGUUUUCGGGGCAGGGUGGAAUUCCCCCUCUCCCGCCGUGCUGGUAGCUCACACGUGUCGCUGAAUCACAACGCCGGGCAGCCACGGGCCUGUCAAUGGGAAGGGGAGAUUUAAUUAAAAUGUUAUGUCUUGUAAUGGCAUAGUGUUGGGGGUGGUAUUUAAACACACUAAAAAAAAGGAAAUAAAAAUUCGUCCUGUGAGA